AGGAGCCAUGCAGGAAUUAAGAUGUGAACAGAGAGAAAGAAGGUGAGGGAGCGUGACGCAGAGAGAAAGUAAAGAACGACAGAUUCCGAUUGACUUCCUGGAUCUGGGAGGAGGACAGAAAACAAAUUAGGGUGAGAAAAGAGGAGGAUAAAGAGGGACCUCAUGUUGAUUAAGUUGGACUGGGAUGAAUACCAAUGAAUGGAGUGCUGAUCAGCAGUGCACAAGUACUUCUCUGAGAAAACCCAGUGGGACCUUCUCCGCUCUUGUCGGAGCUGUGGUUGGAUAAAUCCACGUGCCAGAAGUGGAUUCUGCUGAUGCUCUGCAGGCCUGCAGCUGGGCCUCGGUGCUGCUGGAUGUCAGAGCAGUUUGUGCACAGUGCUGUCAGACUGACAGUCCUCCUGUCCAACAGUAAGUCUUUACUGUAGCUCUGUUCUGCUGAUCCGUCUCCGGGGGAAUCACAGAAGAAGUGUUGUGGAAGCAGAAGAGGGAAGUUCAUAUUGAUCAGCUUGGUCCAACACCAGAACAAAUGGAAGAUUAAUGGCCUGGAUGAAACAGCAAAUCCGGAUCAGGUGGUCUUAACAGAAGCUUGUACCUGGUUUGAUGAGGUUCCAAGCGCACCAUGCCAGGCCCAAAAUGCAGCCUCGCGGAUUGAGGAUCACUGAUUGGCUAGUGGCUGAAUCACCUGUUUAGCAGCUCAUCAGCCUGUUAAUCAUCUGCUGAAUAAAAUCAAGUGUGUUGAAACAGGGUAACAACUAAAACAUGCUGGUGUCAUGUUCUGUGUCCCUUUGUUCCCCAGCCCCUCCAGUUCCCACUCCAGGUUCUCCUUUUGUGUUUUCUAGCGCCCUCAUGUGUCUUGUCUGCGUCUCCUCAUGUUUCUCCUGGUGUUCCCCGUUUGCCCUCUAGGUUCCCCCCUCAGACUUCCCUCUCCCAGGUCCUGUGCUCUCUUGGCCCCCUCUUAGCCACACCCCUGUAGUUUCUUUCUGUCGUGUUUUCCUUUAGUGUCAGUUUCCCCUUAGAAUAUUAGUUAUGGUUCAUGCCUUCUGGUCUUUUGUUUUUUCUCUUAGUCAUUUUCCUUUGUUACAGCCUUUCAUUAUUUAGUGUGUUUUUCCCACCAGUGUUUUCUUCCUCCUCCCUGAGUUAGUAAUUGUGUUCACCUGGUCCCUCUCCCCACACACCUGCAAUUCAUCUCCCUCUCAUCUCCCCAGUCUAUUUAAGCCCUGUCUUGUCACUCUGUGUUUGUUGGUUCAUUGUUGCUGUCAGUGUGACUAAUUCUGUCAGUCCUGCUCGUUCUUUUAGCGUUUUUGGAUCUCCUGAUCACCCCCUGCAUUUUUUGGACUUUGGCUUCCUGCCCCUUUGGUUUUUAUGUUUGUUUUGGGUUCAUCCUAAAAUAAAAGGAUUUUUCUUUAUCUACUCCUGCCUCGUGUCAUCCUGGGUAUCUGCAUUUUGGGUCUGAACCAUCCUCCAUAACGUGACAGCUGGAUACCGGCCCUCCAGGACCAGGAUUGAGAACCUCUGCACUAGGAUCGCGCAGCAGUAGCUCAGGAGGUAGAGCAGGUUGCCUCAUGAUCGGAGGGUCAUGGGAGCAAUUCCAGCUCCCGCCAGGGGUAUUCUGCUGCUGUGUCCUUGGGCAAGACACUUCACCCAACUUUACUGUAUUGAUGGUGGUCAGAGAGGCCGACGGCACCAAAACGGCAGCCUCGCUUUUGUUAGAUCACCCCAGGACGGCUGUGGUUACAUGGUAGCUCAUCAUCACUGGCAGUGUGUGAAUGAGAGAGUGUGUGAAAGCAUGUUUGAGUGUCCUAAAAAGCGCUGUAUAAGUUUGAUGGUUAUUAUUAAUGUUAUUAUUAGGAUUCCUGAUCCUAGAUGCAAAUGCAGCAGGUGGAUCCAGUUUUCCUGUGUGCUUGAGCAGACUCGGGUCUGGCUGAAGAGCAGGAUCUGAUCCAGACAGCAGCUAAGUGAGGAUGUUUGUGGUUUAACCACUCCUACUACUGGUUCUGUAAACAGGUUUAGUUUCAGCAUCUCCUAUCCUGGUUGUGAUGAGCUGAGUGGUGAGAAGAGGAAACACUGCUGUUUGUAAAACCUCCCAUUAAACAUGCAACAAAUGAUUAAAACUUAAUGAGCAGAGAGGUUUUAUCAGGACAGCGAUAAGCGGCUGCAGAGUCCACCUUCACAGGUAUGACUAGUGUCCGCUGACUGCAGAGCACUCUUUCAAAUGAAGCCAGUUGUCAUCCACCAAUUAUUCUAAAUCAUAAGCUGAUGUAUUAUAGAACUUCCUGUUUGUGUCCGUCUCCUGCCUGCAUGAAAACACAUCUCUGGAACCUCUACUGCACUUGGAAGGUCACCUGAGAACAUUCUCCACCUGCCUCAGGUUUACCUUGGUCCAGCAGGUUCUUACACAUGAAAACGCUGGUGUGUUGUUGACUCUCUGACAAUUUCAUUUAUUUUGUGUGUGUGUGUGUGUGUGUGUGUGUGUGUGUGUGUGUGUGUGUGUGUGUGUGUGUGUGUGUGUGUGUGUGUGUGUGUGUGUGUGUGUGUGUGUGUGAUUAACAGACAGAAGCUGGAUUGCUUGCAGCCACUGACUUUCUCAGGAAUCAUCUGGCUAAAACAUCUGUUUUAAUAUUUCUUGCACUAAAUGUGUUUCUAAAACAUUAACAAAGUUUUCUUUGCCAAAGACAACAAGACGUCAGAAUUGUCAUCAGUUAGAGAUGAAGACACCACCGCUGUCUGAGCUGAGACUUUCUUUCAUCACCUGCUGAGUUUCUGAUUGGUUUAGGACCCAGACUUGGAGUGGAAGUGAUUGAUGGGGAGGUUAUCAUCUGGGGCUUUAACAUGAUCAGGUGGUUCAGCUAAAUGACGUGUGUCUGGAGUAAAGUUUUAUGAUGAUGACUAGUAAUAAUAAUGAGUAUAUCUUAAAUUGGUUUCCUGAUUGUAAAACGUAUUUUUGUUGCACGCGAAACACUGCAGACAUCCCUUCCUUUGUGCAUGUUAAAGACCCAUAACCGGAUGCUUUCAGCUCAGAAAGUGAGGAAAUGUUUGUCUGAAUGAUUUUAUGUUGCUAUAACAACACUGUCUAACAGGAGGACAUGUUGCUCUUGGGGUCAGAUGUCUCCAGAAUCAACCAAGGCCUUAAUUUAGAGGCCACUGAAGACAUGUUGAAAGUGUUGUCUUUAAGCACGUAAACAUCAGCAUUACGUCAGGUCCUCGUCGCGCCCACGAUCAGCUCCCCACCCCUUAGUGGGUGGACACCAACCUCCAACCAGGUAAAUGGCUCUCCCAUUAACCUUCAUCGCUCAGUUAUCAUUCCCUCAUGACAGAGCUCCUGAUGCCUGCUCGACAUAUCACUCCCCCAAGUAGCCAAAAGCCCAGCUUCCUGUUCCUUCUCCUCUCCAAUCCCUGCUCAUCUCAACCCUCCCUGAGACACUUCCAUCAUGCCCUAACCCAACUCCAUCUGCCGGUGGUUAUCGGCAGCUAGCAUGCCAUGUCUUCUCCAACACCACCACCAGCAGUCCCUCUGAUCCCCGCAACGCUCCACGACUGUGACUGACACGUUGCCUGACCAUGUUUAGGAAGUCUGCCACAUAAAGCGAUUUUAGCAGCUUUAUUACUGGCAGUUUCAGCAUCUGCCAGAAUGAGCCGCUUCAGGUUUCAGCCGGCCUGUGUUUUUGUUGGGAUGAAAAGGGGAGGUGGGGAG